rnacentral:rRNA from 1 species
AACGAGCGCUGGCGGCAUGCCUAACACAUGCAAGUCGAACGAGACCUUCGGGUCUAGUGGCGCACGGGUGCGUAACGCGUGGGAACCUGCCCUUAGGUUCGGAAUAACUCCCCGAAAGGGGUGCUAAUACCGGAUAAUGUCUUCGGACCAAAGAUUUAUCGCCUUUGGAUGGGCCCGCGUUGGAUUAGCUAGUUGGUAGGGUAAAAGCCUACCAAGGCGACGAUCCAUAGCUGGUCUGAGAGGAUGAUCAGCCACACUGGGACUGAGACACGGCCCAGACUCCUACGGGAGGCAGCAGUGGGGAAUAUUGGACAAUGGGCGAAAGCCUGAUCCAGCAAUGCCGCGUGAGUGAUGAAGGCCUUAGGGUUGUAAAGCUCCUUUACCCGGGAUGAUAAUGACAGUACCGGGAGAAUAAGCUCCGGCUAACUCCGUG